UUUCACAUACCGCACAGCUAGCCGAGACAUGCGCGCACAGCUAGCUAGUAUAAACUAGUACAUGCAGUACAGAGCUAGAGCUAGAGGCAAAACCUGGCUCCAUUGCUAAAGUAUUACAGCAUUCUCCGGCUGGAAAGAUGUUAGUUUGAGGCUGAGAAUGCUGCCCUGUCAGUAAUGAACCCGACGUAUUCAAGUUGAGGAAAAGAGUGAGACCAUUCGAUGUCUAGAGGAUAACCUGCUGAGGGAGUUGGAGGAGAAGCUGCUCGAGAGGUCUCAAAUCAUGGACCCAGGUGUCAUGGCUGAGCUGGUGAGAGAAUUGGAACUGGCCAACAGCAACUCAGAUUCUGCUGUGCAAGAGAGACUUGUGAUGGAGGAAGAGCUCAAGAAGGCACUGGAUUGAUGUGAGGAGUUGAAGCAGAGCAGUGUGCCUGCAGUGGACGUGGUGGACAUAUUCGAGUGCUACAAAGUAACGGGAGAAGGAAGAGUACUUGAAACAGGUGAUAAAGUGGUACAGUAUACCGUACCGUACGUAUAGCGUCCUGGGUAUAGUUUCCGUGGGCAAGCUAAACCUUGACAAAUAUUUAUCACUCACGAAAACGUAGGCAUGGUUGACCGGAACGCAUGCAAUGCAGUGAAGCAAAGGAAAUUUUUACACACGAAAUCACUGCUGCACCACGCCUACAUUUUUGUCUCGGAUUUUUUAUCCCACGAAAAUGACCUGCUAUACAGUAUGUACUGAUUAUGGCUUAGGCAAAAUACACAAAACAUGAUGCCGUUGUGUCUAGAGACUAUUGCCCGUUUUUUUCCCCAUAUAAAGGUUGCAUUUCUGGUACUGUAUCAGUUAGCCAGGGUUUCAUCUAUUGGGGGGGUGGUUCUUCCCCCCCAUGUUGUAGAAUAAUGACAUCAUCACAUUAGUUAAUGUGAUUAACUGAAGGUAGAUCUACUACUAAUCUAGACUUUAACAAUUCCUCCAGUGUGAGGCUAUUGGCUUAUUUUUAUGCCCCAAUCUUCAUGCAGGGACGUAGCAAGUAACUUUAAAGUGGUCAGGCCAACUUACAAUUAAAGGUCAGCUGCUUUUCUACUAUUGGAACUUUUAUACAGUGGUGAAUUUUUUACCUAAGAAAAAGGUCAUUCCUUUUCCUCACCAAAAUAGCAUGCGCAUUAAUUAUCACUUACAAUAUUUACGACCAUUGCCUACCCAGCUGCAAAAAGUGGUUAGGCCAAAACCUGACCAGCCUGACCGCUUGCUACAGCUUUGAUCUUAUGUGCAACGUUAUGCUAUAAUUAUGUGAAAACAUUAUUUCUUACUCGUCCAGGUUCAGGUUCGGAAAUGUUGUGUUUGAGAUCACGUCAAGCAGAUAGAGAAGGUGGAGCUGGUCCUCCAGGUGAGGGUGUGUG